rnacentral:hammerhead_ribozyme from 1 species
ACUCAGCUGACGAGUCCCAAAUAGGACAGACGCGCAUCCUGGAU